CGGAUAGUUAUUCACCAUAAUUGAUGAUCGUGGAUAUUUCUUCGAUUUUUUUUUGAGAUGCAUAAGUAUCUAACCUAUAUAGGUAUCUAUGAGACAGAUCUAAGAAAACUCCUCUUUAUUUCUUCAUCAAGAAACCAGCGCAAAGAAGAAAGAAGAAGAUGAGAGAACUCCUCUCAAAUCAAUAUCCUGAAUCUUGGCACG
rnacentral:lncRNA from 1 species